AGUGAACGCUGGCGGUAGGCCUAACACAUGCCAGUCGAACAGCAGCACAGUAAGAGCUUGCUCUUACGGGUGGCGAGUGGCGGACGGGUGAGGAAUACAUCGGAAUCUACUUUUUCGUGGGGGAUAACGUAGGGAAACUUGCGCUAAUACCGCAUACGACCUACGGGUGAAAGCAGGGGAUCUUCGGACCUUGCGCGAUUGAAUGAGCCGAUGUCGGAUUAGCUAGUUGGCGGGGUAAAGGCCCACCAAGGCGACGAUCCGUAGCUGGUCUGAGAGGAUGAUCAGCCACACUGGAACUGAGACACGGUCCAGACUCCUACGGGAGGCAGCAGUGGGGAAUAUUGGACAAUGGGCGCAAGCCUGAUCCAGCCAUACCGCGUGGGUGAAGAAGGCCUUCGGGUUGUAAAGCCCUUUUGUUGGGAAAGAAAAGCAGCAGGUUAAUACCCCGCUGUUCUGACGGUACCCAAAGAAUAAGCACCGGCUAACUUCGUG
rnacentral:rRNA from 1 species